AACGAACGCUGGCGGCAUGCCUAACACAUGCAAGUCGAACGAGACCUUCGGGUCUAGUGGCGCACGGGUGCGUAUCGCGUGGGAACCUGCCCUUAGGUUCGGAAUAACUCCCCGAAAGGGGUGCUAAUACCGGAUAAUGUCUUCGGACCAAAGAUUUAUCGCCUUUGGAUGGGCCCGCGUUGGAUUAGCUAGUUGGUAGGGUAAAAGCCUACCAAGGCGACGAUCCAUAGCUGGUCUGAGAGGAUGAUCAGCCACACUGGGACUGAGACACGGCCCAGACUCCUACGGGGGGCAGCAGUGGGGAAUAUUGGACAAUGGGCGAAAGCCUGAUCCAGCAAUGCCGCGUGAGUGAUGAAGGCCUUAGGGUUGUAAAGCUCUUUUACCCGGGAUGAUAAUGACAGUACCGGGAGAAUAAGCUCCGGCUAACUCCGUG
rnacentral:rRNA from 1 species